rnacentral:tRNA from 1 species
GCCGCUGUGAUGAAACGCAUUCGUAAUGCGAAGGUCACCAGUUCGAUUCCGGUCAGCGGCACCA